rnacentral:rRNA from 1 species
AUGGCCAAGACGAUGACCAUGAUCAUGCUUCUCUUAGUCUCCUCCCUCCUCUCCCACUCAUCCGAGUCGUCCCAGUCCCACCUACAGAUCACCUUGGACGUCCACAAGCAGACGUUUGCCGAGUUGGACCAAGCCAUGCAGAUUGCUCUGUCGCUUGGUCUGCCACCUCAGCGGAGGCCAAUUGGGGCGGACGCUGCCCUGAAGGAGAGCUUGCUCUCCUUGAUGCAAGCGAUCGCGCACCGGAUGGAGGCUCCCCACGGCCUCCCGAGCAUCGACGAAGGCGGCCAAGCCAUCCCGCUCCCGAAGACACUUCCCGCGCGUCGUCGUCAGCCACAUCCAUCGAGCUGGAUGAACAUGAAGACCGACGACAAGGAGGCCCCCCCGGCGACUCCCACUGCGGCGCCAUGA